rnacentral:other from 1 species
CGUCCUCUGCCGUGUUCGACGGCGUGCGCAAACAUUCGCCUUGUCCCUUAACGACGACCACGGGGGCGCGACGGCAGCCUGGCGCGCAGGUCCGCCCACGAGCGGGAAGCCCGAUGGCCGCCAGACGUCCCCACUUGAACCCCGGGUUCAAGGUCGUUUCGCACGCAUCGACAUGGCGGAGGACGU